rnacentral:rRNA from 1 species
UUAUGAGAGUUUGAUCCUGGCUCAGGACGAACGCUGGCGGCGUGCCUAAUACAUGCAAGUCGAACGCUUUUUCUUUCACCGGAGCUUGCUCCACCGAAAGAAAAAGAGUGGCGAACGGGUGAGUAACACGUGGGUAACCUGCCCAUCAGAAGGGGAUAACACUUGGAAACAGGUGCUAAUACCGUAUAACACUAUUUUCCGCAUGGAAGAAAGUUGAAAGGCGCUUUUGCGUCACUGAUGGAUGGACCCGCGGUGCAUUAGCUAGUUGGUGAGGUAACGGCUCACCAAGGCAACGAUGCAUAGCCGACCUGAGAGGGUGAUCGGCCACACUGGGACUGAGACACGGCCCAGACUCCUACGGGAGGCAGCAGUAGGGAAUCUUCGGCAAUGGACGAAAGUCUGACCGAGCAACGCCGCGUGAGUGAAGAAGGUUUUCGGAUCGUAAAACUCUGUUGUUAGAGAAGAACAAGGAUGAGAGUAAAAUGUUCAUCCCUUGACGGUAUCUAACCAGAAAGCCACGGCUAACUACGUGCCAGCAGCCGCGGUAAUACGUAGGUGGCAAGCGUUGUCCGGAUUUAUUGGGCGUAAAGCGAGCGCAGGCGGUUUCUUAAGUCUGAUGUGAAAGCCCCCGGCUCAACCGGGGAGGGUCAUUGGAAACUGGGAGACUUGAGUGCAGAAGAGGAGAGUGGAAUUCCAUGUGUAGCGGUGAAAUGCGUAGAUAUAUGGAGGAACACCAGUGGCGAAGGCGGCUCUCUGGUCUGUAACUGACGCUGAGGCUCGAAAGCGUGGGGAGCGAACAGGAUUAGAUACCCUGGUAGUCCACGCCGUAAACGAUGAGUGCUAAGUGUUGGAGGGUUUCCGCCCUUCAGUGCUGCAGCAAACGCAUUAAGCACUCCGCCUGGGGAGUACGACCGCAAGGUUGAAACUCAAAGGAAUUGACGGGGGCCCGCACAAGCGGUGGAGCAUGUGGUUUAAUUCGAAGCAACGCGAAGAACCUUACCAGGUCUUGACAUCCUUUGACCACUCUAGAGAUAGAG